GAUGAACGCUAGCUACAGGCUUAACACAUGCAAGUCGAGGGGAAACGACAUCGCAAGCUUGCUUUUGAUGGGCGUCGACCGGCGCACGGGUGAGUAACGCGUAUCCAACCUGCCCAUCACUUGGGAAUAACCUUGCGAAAGUAAGACUAAUACCCAAUGACAUCCCACGAAGACAUCUGAAUGGGAUUAAAGAUUUAUCGGUGAUGGAUGGGGAUGCGUCUGAUUAGCUUGUUGGCGGGGUAACGGCCCACCAAGGCAACGAUCAGUAGGGGUUCUGAGAGGAAGGUCCCCCACAUUGGAACUGCGACACGGUCCAAACUCCUACGGGAGGCAGCAGUGAGGAAUAUUGGUCAAUGGGCGAGAGCCUGAACCAGCCAAGUAGCGUGCAGGAUGACGGCCCUAUGGGUUGUAAACUGCUUUUAUAAGGGAAUAAAGUGGGUCUCGUGAGACUUUUUGCAUGUACCUUAUGAAUAAGGACCGGCUAAUUCCGUG
rnacentral:rRNA from 1 species